AAACAUAACCUUUAGCCAAACAAAUAUUAAAGGCAACGCCUGCCCAGUGAACAAUUAAACGGCCGCGGUACCCUAACCGUGCAAAGGUAGCACAAUCACUUGUCUAUUAAUUGUAGACCCGUAUGAAAGGCAAAAUGAGGGCCUAACUGUCUCUUAUAAUAACUCAAUUAAACUGAUCCCCCAGUCAAAAAGCUGGAAUACUAUCAUAAGACCAGAAGACCCUGUGAAGCUUAAACUAAACUAUUAAACCAACUAAUAGCUACUUUCGGUUGGGGCGACCUUGGAAAAAAAAAGAACUUCCAAAUACCGCGAAACUACCCCGCCUAUAACCAGGCCAACAAGCCAAACACUUGACCCAGAAAUAACUGAUAAUUGAACCAAGUUACUCCAGGGAUAACAGCGCCAUCUUCCUCAAGAGCCCAUAUCAAAAGGAAGGUUUACGACCUCGAUGUUGGAUCAGGACAUCCUAAUGGUGCAGCAGCUAUUAAGGGUUCGUUUGUUCAACGAUUAACAGUCCCACGUGAUCUGAU
rnacentral:rRNA from 1 species